GGGAAGGCGAGGAGCCCUAUGCCAGAGAAUUCAAAUGGCCCUGCCCUAAAUUACAUUUUCCAAAAUUCUGCUCAGCAUCAGAAAUCCCCAAUCAGGACAGGGGAGAGCUAUUUUUCCUCUGUAGCAGCAACCAGUCAGAGUUCCUGUAAACUGUUGAAUCUGCAAAAAGGAGGACUGAUUGAUACUUCUAGAUCAAUAAGUCAAACUGCAUUUUCAAGUAUCACCAAAACUGUAAGUGGAAGAAGGACACAUGAUUACACCAGGAAACUUUUUUUUACUUCAGUAUCCAGCAUUCACCUGCUGCCAGUGGAAAAGUGAAAAUUGUACUCCUAAAAGUAUUGAAAUUCACUCUAGGCACAAUUAAAACUAAACUGGACUCAACUUGGUCAGUAUGUGCAAAGGAAUAGGGUGUGUGUGACCCAUGGAAGCCAACAACAACAACACCACAAAUAGAAUUGUACCCAUCAAGAAAAGGACACCAGAGAUGUCUUCACGCUCACCAUCUUAAUGACACUUAUAAAAUCACAAAAGGAUCUGAAAGUACCUGGUGAGUUAAAGCCUUUGUACUGAGUUAUCCAGGCAUCACAAGUUAACUAUCAGUAGGAAGAGUUGCAUCCAGCUUGCCGAUUUCCGCAGCAUCUUCUUUGCUCUACAAGAAAAUGGGGUAUAUAAGGAAGCAGUUAAUGUCAAAAGACUCUGGGCUAUAUUCACCAUCGCUUCAGUGAAUUGGAAAAGACACUGUACUUUAUUGCUUCAGAACUUUUUCAUUUGGACUGCUUCAGGCAAAUGGGGGGAAGGGAAGACAAUCCAAUUUCUUCCUCAAAUGCCAGGAAUACUGAACAUAAGAAACCGCCCACAAAAGAGAAGUAAAACAUCAAC
rnacentral:lncRNA from 11 species